rnacentral:rRNA from 1 species
UCGAACGGUGAACACGGAGCUUGCUCUGUGGGAUCAGUGGCGAACGGGUGAGUAACACGUGAGCAACCUGCCCCUGACUCUGGGAUAAGCGCUGGAAACGGCGUCUAAUACUGGAUACGAACCAUGAAGGCAUCUUCAGUGGUUGGAAAGAUUUAUUGGUUGGGGAUGGGCUCGCGGCCUAUCAGCUUGUUGGUGAGGUAAUGGCUCACCAAGGCGUCGACGGGUAGCCGGCCUGAGAGGGUGACCGGCCACACUGGGACUGAGACACGGCCCAGACUCCUACGGGAGGCAGCAGUGGGGAAUAUUGCACAAUGGGCGCAAGCCUGAUGCAGCAACGCCGCGUGAGGGAUGACGGCCUUCGGGUUGUAAACCUCUUUUAGCAGGGAAGAAGCGAAAGUGACGGUACCUGCAGAAAAAGCGCCGGCUAACUACGUGCCAGCAGCCGCGGUAAUACGUAGGGCGCAAGCGUUAUCCGGAAUUAUUGGGCGUAAAGAGCUCGUAGGCGGUUUGUCGCGUCUGCUGUGAAAUCCGGAGGCUCAACCUCCGGCCUGCAGUGGGUACGGGCAGACUAGAGUGCGGUAGGGGAGAUUGGAAUUCCUGGUGUAGCGGUGGAAUGCGCAGAUAUCAGGAGGAACACCGAUGGCGAAGGCAGAUCUCUGGGCCGUAACUGACGCUGAGGAGCGAAAGGGUGGGGAGCAAACAGGCUUAGAUACCCUGGUAGUCCACCCCGUAAACGUUGGGAACUAGUUGUGGGGUCCAUUCCACGGAUUCCGUGACGCAGCUAACGCAUUAAGUUCCCCGCCUGGGGAGUACGGCCGCAA